rnacentral:rRNA from 1 species
GAGUUUGAUCCUGGCUCAGGACGAACGCUGGCGGCGUGCCUAAUACAUGCAAGUGGAACGCACAAGGUGCACCGUAGUUUACUACACCGUACUUUGUGAGUCGCGAACGGGUGAGUAACGCGUAGGUAACCUACCUUUUAGCGGGGGAUAACUAUUGGAAACGAUAGCUAAUACCGCAUAAGAUAUCUUACUGCAUAGUAAGAUAUUAAAAGAUGCAAUUGCAUCACUAAGAGAUGGACCUGCGUUGUAUUAGCUAGUAGGUGAGGUAACGGCUCACCUAGGCAACGAUACAUAGCCGACCUGAGAGGGUGAUCGGCCACACUGGGACUGAGACACGGCCCAGACUCCUACGGGAGGCAGCAGUAGGGAAUCUUCGGCAAUGGGGGGAACCCUGACCGAGCAACGCCGCGUGAGUGAAGAAGGUUUUCGGAUCGUAAAGCUCUGUUGUAAGAGAAGAACGAGCGUGAGAGUGGAAAGUUCACACUGUGACAGUAACUUACCAGAAAGGGACGGCUAACUACGUGCCAGCAGCCGCGGUAAUACGUAGGUCCCGAGCGUUGUCCGGAUUUAUUGGGCGUAAAGCGAGCGCAGGCGGUUAGAUAAGUCUGAAGUUAAAGGCUGUGGCUUAACCAUAGUACGCUUUGGAAACUGUUUAACUUGAGUGCAGAAGGGGAGAGUGGAAUUCCAUGUGUAGCGGUGAAAUGCGUAGUAAUAUGGAGGAACACCGGUGGCGAAAGCGGCUCUCUGGUCUGUAACUGACGCUGAGGCUCGAAAGCGUGGGAGCAAACAGGAUUAGAUACCCUGUAGUCCACGCCGUAAACGAUGAGUGCUAGGUGUUGGGUCCUUUCC